rnacentral:rRNA from 1 species
CCAGACUCCUACGGGAGGCAGCAGUGAGGAAUAUUGGUCAAUGGGAGAGAUCCUGAACCAGCCAAGCCGCGUGAAGGACGAAGGUGCCAAGCAUUGUAAACUUCUUUUGUCAAGGGACAAAAUCAGGCUCGAGAGCCUGACCGAGGGUACUUGAAGAAAAAGCAUCGGCUAACUCCGUGCCAGCAGCCGCGGUAAUACGGAGGAUGCGAGCGUUAUCCGGAUUUAUUGGGUUUAAAGGGUGCGUAGGCGGGCUGUUAAGUCAGGGGUAAAACCCGGGGGCUCAACCCCGGCGAGCCGUUGAAACUGGCUGUCUUGAGAUGUCGAGAGGUAUGCGGAAUGCGCAGUGUAGCGGUGAAAUGCUUAGAUAUUGCGCAGAACUCCGAUUGCGAAGGCAGCAUACCGGCGGCGAUCUGACGCUGAGGCACGAAAGCGUGGGUAUCGAACAGGAUUAGAUACCCGCGUA